CGGCGGGCGGGGCGUGGCGCCUUUCCCGUGGUGCCGCGGGAGCGGCGGCCGCAGCGGCCGCGAUUUCGUCCGGGUCCCGCAAGCUCACUGGAAGGUCCGGAAGUGCCGCCCCCGGGAGCCGUCGGCGCCAGAGAGCAAGGCUGAGGCUGUUCUCAGAGCCUGAUGUAAUUACUGAUGGGUUCUUCGUUAGCUGCCCAGCACUGCCCCAAUUGCCUCUGUGCUGCAAGGAACAGGAUGCACAGACAGCACUGCAGCUCUUCGUAAGUUUAGAGCAAACCUCAUCAGACCAGUGGGAAAACCUACAGCCCUGGCAAAACCUGUGUUCCCACUGGAUUGCCAUGACUCAGUGAACGCCAUUGUGUUGCAGAAAUUCUGAAAUGGAGCCAAGAAAUUCCAAGAUUACCUUCUUAAAAUAAAAAUACCCACUAAACUGCUUGUCCUUCA
rnacentral:lncRNA from 1 species